rnacentral:rRNA from 1 species
AUGCAAGUCGAGCGGAAACGAGAAUAGCUUGCUAUUCGGCGUCGAGCGGCGGACGGGUGAGUAAUGCUUGGGAACGUGCCGUAAGGUGGGGGACAACCAUUGGAAACGAUGGCUAAUACCGCAUAAUGUCUACGGACCAAAGGGGGCUUCGGCUCUCGCCUUAUGAUCGGCCCAAGUGGGAUUAGCUAGUUGGUAAGGUAAUGGCUUACCAAGGCGACGAUCCCUAGCUGGUUUGAGAGGAUGAUCAGCCACACUGGAACUGAGACACGGUCCAGACUCCUACGGGAGGCAGCAGUGGGGAAUAUUGCACAAUGGGCGCAAGCCUGAUGCAGCCAUGCCGCGUGUGUGAAGAAGGCCUUAGGGUUGUAAAGCACUUUCAGUAAGGAGGAAAGGUUAGUAGUUAAUACCUGCUAGCUGUGACGUUACUUACAGAAGAAGCACCGGCUAACUCCGUGCCAGCAGCCGCGGUAAUACGGAGGGUGCGAGCGUUAAUCGGAAUUACUGGGCGUAAAGCGUACGCAGGCGGUUUGUUAAGCGAGAUGUGAAAGCCCCGGGCUCAACCUGGGAACUGCAUUUCGAACUGGCAAACUAGAGUGUGAUAGAGGGUGGUAGAAUUUCAGGUGUAGCGGUGAAAUGCGUAGAGAUCUGAAGGAAUACCGAUGGCGAAGGCAGCCACCUGGGUCAACACUGACGCUCAUGUACCAAAG